rnacentral:rRNA from 1 species
AUGCUGACAAAGGCGCAAUGGAUCGCCUUGUCGAAAGAAAAGCAAGGCGGAUCCAUGAGCAGCGGCAAGAAGAAAGGGAAGGGAAAGCAACGCUCGCCGAGAAAGAACUUCGCUGACUCGGACGACGAGGCUGAGCCUACAUGACCGAGGAGGAAGUUUGACAUCAGAAAAUUUAGGUGUCAUAAGUGUGUCCUCCUCGGUCACUUCAAGGCUGACUGUGAGAAAGCGCCGAAGCAGAGAGCGCUUAUGGCCGAGGAAGGAGAUGACGAUGAUAUGAUGCUGAUAUGCAAGCUAGUGAACAAGGAAGAUCCAGAUGAUCACGGUCAACUGGACACAGGUCCAGUGAGUGGAUCCGCGCCAGUAAACCCAGGCAAAGUCAUGGCGCCAGAACACCAUGACGGAAGGCAUGACGGUGUGGUCACGUUAGAAGUAGGUGAAGAAAUGACACCAGAUGUCCACAACACAAUACGUGAUGGUGUGGUCGCGCUAGAAGACGGCGAAGACGUGUCGCCAGAAGAACACAACACGAUGAGGCUUGAUGAAGUGGUCACCCCAGAAGAAUGCAGCAUGCAACGAGCUGUACUCGGGCCAGAUGAACAUGGCGCUAUGUUGGACGGUGCAAUGGCGAGGCCUGCGAGCGUCGCGUCAGAUGAUAGCGUGGCGACUACGGUAGCAGCGUUGCAUGCAUCGCAACAAGCGGCAAGCCAGGCAGUCCGCACGAGCAGGCAGCCCAGUCGAGGCACGUCCUCACGUACGGGGCUGGUCCAGCUUCGCUCGCUAGUGCCCGCAGCCUAG